UCUGGUUGAUCCUGCCAGUAGUUAUAUGCUUGUCUCAAAGAUUAAGCCAUGCAUGUCUAAGUACACACUAUAUUAAAGUGAAACCGCAAAAGGCUCAUUAUAUCAGUUAUGGUUCCUUAGAUCAUAGCCACAGUUACUUGGAUAACUGUGGUAAUUCUAGAGCUAAUACAUGCAAUUAUACGCAGACCGAAAGGAAUGUGUGCUCUUAUUAGACCAAAACCAAACGACUUCGGUUGUUAGUUUAGGUGAAUCUAGAUAAUAUGCUGAUCGCAUGGUUUUAUGCCAGCGACAGAUCUUUCAAAUGUCUGCCCUAUCAACUAUUGAUGGUAGUGUAGAGGACUACCAUGGUUGCAACGGGUAACGGGGAAUCAGGGUUCGAUUCCGGAGAGGGAGCCUGAGAAACGGCUACCACAUCUAAGGAAGGCAGCAGGCGCGUAAAUUACCCAAUCCCGGCACGGGGAGGUAGUGACGAAAAAUAACAAUAUAGGACUCAAUCCGAGGCCCUAUAAUUGGAAUGAAUACAAUUUAAAUCCUUUAAUAAGGAUCAAUUGGAGGGCAAGUCUGGUGCCAGCAGCCGCGGUAAUUCCAGCUCCAAUAGCGUAUAUUAAAAUUGUUGCGGUUAAAACGUUCGUAGUUGAAUCUUGGUCAAGCACAGACUUUACAACCGAGUGUGGUUCGUAAUGUCUGCUAAUGCUAUGACGUUUUACUGCUGGAUAAAGAAAUUUUAUAUUUAUAUUUAAAAGUAUUUAUCCAAUUAAAAGUCUUAAAUAAAUGCUCUUAAUCGAGUGUUUAUUAUAUAGACCAGUACCAUUUACUUUGAACAAAUUAUGGUGCUCAAAGCAGGCCUGCCAAGCCUAAGUAUUUUUGCAUGGAAUAAUUAAACAAGGUGUCUAUUUUAUUUUGUUGGUUUAAAUAAAUAGAUACAAUGAUUGAUAGAAGUAGUUGGGGACAUUAGUAUUACGAGGCGAGAGGUGAAAUUCUUAGACCCUCGUAAGACUUACUUAAGCGAAAGCAUUUGUCAAAGAUACUUUCUUUAAUCAAGAACGAAAGUUAGGGGAUCGAAGGCGAUCAGAUACCGCCCUAGUCCUAACCAUAAACUAUGUCAGCCAGCAAUUGGAUGUAGCUACUACUAUGGCUCUUUCAGUCGCUUUCCGGGAAACUAUAGCUAGAUUCCGGGGGAAGUAUGGUUGCAAAAUUGAAACUUAAAGGAAUUGACGGAAGGGCACCACCAGAAGUGGAGCCUGCGGCUUAAUUUGACAACACGGGAAAACUUACCAGGUCCGAACAUAAAUGAGUAAGACAGAUUGAUAGCUCUUUCUCAAAUCUAUGGGUGGUGGUGCAUGGCCGUUCUUAGUUCGUGGAGUGAUUUGUCUGGUUAAUUCCGAUAACGAACGAGACUCAAAUAUAUUAAAUAGAUGCAUAUUGGAUUAUGAUGUUGAAAAUCGCUGAUUUACUUUUAACACUGUUAAUUGUAUUUUCAUGUAGUUGGAGUCAUACCAAUGUGUUUGUCCUAAUAAGACACUAGCUUCUUAAAUGGACAAAUUGCGUCUAGCAAUAUGAAAUUGAGCAAUAACAGGUCUGUGAUGCCCUUAGAUGUCCUGGGCAGCACGCGCGCUACAAUGAAGGUAUCAACGUGUUCAUCCUAUUCCGAAAGGAAUUGGUAAACCGCUGAAACACCUUCCUGGUUGGGAUUGUGGACUGUAAUGGUCCACAUGAACUAGGAAUUUCCAGUAAGUGCAAGUCAUAAGCUCGCAUUGAUUACGUCCCUGCCCUUUGUACACACCGCCCGUCGCUACUACCGAUUGAAUUGGUUAAUGAGGUCUCUGGAAGUUAUAUAUUGCAAUAUACUUCGGUAAGAUGCAUUGAUUAACAGAAAUUGACCGAAUUUGCUUAUUUAGAGGAAGUAAAAGUCGUAACAAGGUUUCCGUAGGUGAACCUGCGGAAG
rnacentral:rRNA from 1 species